rnacentral:rRNA from 1 species
AUUGAACGCUGGCGGCAUGCCUUACACAUGCAAGUCGAACGGUAACGCGGGGCAACCUGGCGACGAGUGGCGAACGGGUGAGUAAUGCAUCGGAACGUGCCCAGUAGUGGGGGAUAGCCCGGCGAAAGCCGGAUUAAUACCGCAUACGACCUAAGGGUGAAAGCGGGGGAUCGCAAGACCUCGCGCUAUUGGAGCGGCCGAUGUCAGAUUAGGUUGUUGGUGGGGUAAAAGCCUACCAAGCCGACGAUCUGUAGCUGGUCUGAGAGGACGACCAGCCACACUGGGACUGAGACACGGCCCAGACUCCUACGGGAGGCAGCAGUGGGGAAUUUUGGACAAUGGGGGCAACCCUGAUCCAGCCAUGCCGCGUGCGGGAAGAAGGCCUUCGGGUUGUAAACCUCUUUCGGCGGGGAAGAAAUGGCAACGGCUAAUAUCCGUUGUUGAUGACGGUACCCGCAUAAGAAUAAGCACCGGCUAACUACGUGCCAGCCGCCGCGGUAAGAC